GAUGAAGAACGUAUCGAAAUGCGAUAAGUAAUGUGAAUUGCAGAAUUCAGUGAAUCAUCGAAUCUUUGAACGCACAUUGCGCCCCCUGGUAUUCCGGGGGGCAUGCCUGUUCGAGCGUCAUUUCACCACUCAAGCCUCGCUUGGUAUUGGGCAACGCGGUCCGCCGCGUGCCUCAAAUCGACCGGCUGGGUCUUCUGUCCCCUAAGCGUUGUGGAAACUUUCGCUAAAGGGUGUUCGGGAGGCUACGCCGUAAAACAACCCCAUUUCUAAGGUUGACCUCGGAUCAGGUAGGGAUACCCGCUGAACUUAAGCAUAUCAAUAAGCGGAGGA
rnacentral:misc_RNA from 1 species